CGAGGAAUACUUGGGUAACGUACCCUACACACCGGGAUAACUGUGGGAAACUACAGAUAAUACUGGAUGAGACCACGACUCGUAAGAGUUGUGCUCAAAGGGCGGGGAUCUCUUCGGAGACCCGUUGGUGUGGGAGCGGCCCAAGUCCUAUCAGGUUGUUGGUGAGGUAAUGGCUCACCAAGCCUACGACGGGUACCGGGACUGAGAGGUUGAUCCGGCGCAUUGGGACUGAGACACUGCCCAG
rnacentral:rRNA from 1 species